rnacentral:lncRNA from 1 species
GCAAGCUGGAAGAUCCAACUAAGCCUGCAUCCUGUCUCCAACAGAGGCCCCGAACGGAUGUUCCAGUGAUAGAGAACUUCCUAAAACCACUUUCCCUCUUCCACCCCCCCCUAGACGCAUCAGGUGGGUCCCAGGCUUCCCUGAAGAAUGGACCGCAUAGGAGAAAAUGAGUUUCAUGGGGUCAGAGAUUCAGACGUGGAAUGUUCUCUGGAGGCCGGUCAUCCCACCCUCUCAUUUUUCAGAAGAGGAAACUGAGUCUCAGGGAGAAAAAGUGAAUUACCCAAAAUGAAAGAGGCAAGGAUGGUGGAAGGAGAAUUUGAACACAGACUCUGACUCCAAAGCUGCUGCUUUUUCUACAAACCCUGCUGCCUCGUCUACAUAUGGAUUCUCUCUCUAUGUGCCUCCUUGGAGAAGAGAGCUGACCCCCUUCUCCCCUCCCAAGGUAAUGGGUCACAAAAGAGAGGGGGCUUUGAUACUGGGAACAAUUGUGAUGGAAGGCAACCAGAGGAUGACUGCUUCAGUGAGACCACCAGGUUUGGUUAAAAACAACAACAAUAAUUAUAAUUCAGUAACACAUACAUAACCCAGUGGAAUUGCUUGUCAGCUCCUGGAUGGGAGAGGAAAGAGGGAAGGGAGAGAAAAUGAAUCAUGUAACCAUUGAAAAAAAUAUUUAGAAAGAAAAAAAGCAUCUUAAGGAUGACUUACUAAAAAAAAAUAAUCCCAAAAAGCAGAAGUCAGGACUGGAUGGGAAGAAUCUUCUUGCCUCAUUCUCUGUAAAGGACUUGGCUCCUAAUUGGCUGGAUCCUUUUGUCUUGUCCUGCUUACCUGAUAUAUUUACCACUGGUCAAGUGGUAUUGACAAGUGGCUUUACACGGAGUAUGGCUUUAUAAGAACUUAGAAGUUUAUUAUCAGAUCAACUUUGCUUGAAAAGAUAGACCCACCAAAAAAUUGGAAGGAAGGUGAAAAAAGGUCCAUGAAGCUCAGGCUUACAGUAAUCUGAGUCUUCAAAGUUUGGCCAAAUCCUGGGACUGGGUGGGACAUCUCAUCCUCAAUCUUUCACAUCAAUUGUUCAUCAAAACUUAAUGUUUCCUUUAUGCUCUACAUCCUUGAGUCCUUUGAUCUGCAGGGACUUUUUAAAAAAUGCUGGUAAUGAGAAGCCUCUUGGG